rnacentral:rRNA from 1 species
GUUUGGCACCUCGAUGUCGGCUCAUCACAUCCUGGGGCUGUAGUAGGUCCCAAGGGUUGGGCUGUUCGCCCAUUAAAGUGGUACGCGAGCUGGGUUCAGAACGUCGUGAGACAGUUCGGUCCCUAUCCGUCGCAGGCGUAGGAAAUUUGAGAAGACCUGUCCUUAGUACGAGAGGACCGGGAUGGACGUACCUCUGGUGUACCAGUUGUCCUGCCAAGGGAAUGGCUGGGUAGCUAUGUACGGAAUGGAUAAGCGCUGAAAGCAUCUAAGCGCGAAGCCAACUUCAAGAUAAGAUUUCCCACCGCAAGGGUAAGACCCCAGAAAGACUAUCUGGUUGAUAGGUCGAAGGUGUAAGUGCAGCAAUGUAUUUAGCUUAUCGAUACUAAUAGGUCGAGGACUUGAACAAUA